rnacentral:lncRNA from 1 species
AUUCAUGUUGUUGUUUUUCUUUAUGCACGAAUUAUUUUAUGGGGUGUUGUCCAACUUGACUCUUUUUCACUCAAUUUUUUUUGUCUUUUUAGUAUCACAUUAGUGCAUGAGUCUUUGACCUAGGCAAGUGCUUAUACUUCAUUUCUAUUUUUCAUUUCUUUUCUCUUUUUUUUCUUGGUAGAAGUGGAUGUUUGUACACAGUUUUUCUUUUCUUUUUGUUGCACUUGCCCCUUUUUCAAAAUUUCUUCUAAGGAUCACCACCCCAAACUUACCUUUUUGCACAAAUUUUACACUACAA